rnacentral:rRNA from 1 species
UGCGGGCAUAUAGACGAACCAGUGUGGAUGCUGGACCGUAGAGGGUGAGAGUCCCGUAGUCGAAAUGUGUUCCGCCGCUGUUGGAGGGUUGCCCGAGUAGCACGGGGCCCGAGGAAUCCCGUGUGAAUCUGCCAGGACCACCUGGUAAGCCUGAAUACUACCUGUUGACCGAUAGCGGAUCAGUACCGUGAGGGAAUGGUGAAAAGUACCCCGGGAGGGGAGUGAAAUAGUACCUGAAACC